rnacentral:rRNA from 1 species
CACGUAGGCGGCAAGCGUUGUCCGGAAUUAUUGGGCGUAAAGCGCGCGCAGGCGGCCUCUUAAGUCUGAUGUGAAAGCCCCCGGCUCAACCGGGGAGGGCCAUUGGAAACUGGGAGGCUUGAGUAUAGGAGAGAAGAGUGGAAUUCCACGUGUAGCGGUGAAAUGCGUAGAGAUGUGGAGGAACACCAGUGGCGAAGGCGACUCUUUGGCCUAUAACUGACGCUGAGGCGCGAAAGCGUGGGGAGCAAACAGG